UAGGGAAUCUUCCGCAAUGGACGAAAGUCUGACGGAGCAACGCCGCGUGAGUGAAGAAGGAUUUCGGUUCGUAAAACUCUGUUGUUAGGGAAGAAAAAAUGUAUAGUAACUAUAUAAAAAAGAGACGGUACCUAACCAGAAAGCCACGGCUAACUACGUGCCAGCAGCCGCGGUAAUACGUAGGUGGCAAGCGUUGUCCGGAAUUAUUGGGCGUAAAGCGCGCGCAGGUGGUUUAGAAAGUCUGAUGUGAAAGCCCACGGCUCAACCGUGGAAGGUCAUUGGAAACUAAUAAACUUGAGUGCAGGAGAGAAAAGUGGGAUUCCUAGUGUAGCGGUGAAAUGCGUAGAGAUUAGGGGGAACACCGGUGGCGAAUGCGGCUUUUUGGCCUGCAACUGACACUGAGGCGCGAAAGCGUGGGGAGCAAACAGG
rnacentral:rRNA from 1 species